UUUAACUUUAGGGUUAUUACUGUACACAAAUAUCUAAAAAAUGGGAUGUGUUAGAUGGCAUACAAUCAGCAAAUCACUGCACUUAAUUAGCUUCUGUUUAAUUAUAUCUUGGUUGUUCUCUUAGUUUUGAAAAACUUGUAAAGGCUUCAUUUGUAAAACACAAUUUGAUAAAAGAGACCACUGAACUCCAAAUGGUUGAAACCCUCUCUGCUUGGAGUUAAACAGGUGAUGAUAUUUGGUACAUAUCCAAGGAAAAAACAGGAGCACAUCUGAUGAUUUUUGGAGAUCAAAUCAAGCAAAAUAUUUUCAAAGACUUUUUCAUCCCAUUUUAGUGGAAAAUUUUAGCAAAUCAUCCCAGACAUUUAGUUAAAAGUUUAUGGGUUAAGUCAAACUAUUACUAAGUUAACUUGGUAUUUUUUACUUGUGGUUAUAUACAGCUACUGUUUCAGUAUCAGUAUAUAAAAUCCGUCCUUUAUAUGAAACCAUCCUAAGAUAAAUACUGCUAAAUUUGUUGUAGGGACACCAAUCAGUUUUUUGCUCUCUUCUUACGAUUGUGAAUUUUGUAUGUAUGUUAAUACUAAACAUUGCUAUAUGCAUAUUAUACACUCUCACAUAUAUAAUGUUGGGUGUGUAGAAAACAGUGUUAAUGAGAAUAAUGAAGUUGGGAGAAAUUUGUUGCAAGUUGAAAACUGAAGUGUAGUGUCUUUGUACUCAUAAGUGGUAUCAUACAUGUCUGUAUCUGAUGGGGGUGGUUGGCAAAAAUUUAACUAUGAAUAAUAUGCACUUCUUAUUCUUACUGACAUAAAAGAAAUAGCUAAAAACUUCAUUCACCCAUCUAUCUCUCUCUCUCUUUCUCCCUCCCUUCCUCUCCCCCAUCUCUCUCUCUGUCCGAUGAAGUGGACAUGUCCUACACUCAUGAAACCUUACGUAAUCUUGGGCUGAGUCAAACUGAUGUUAAAUACACACACACACAUGCACGUAUAAUAUAUAUAAUGCUGUUGACUUAUUUUCUAUGCUUGCACACACGCGCACACACACAUCGAGAAAGGUACAAACAUAUGUUCCACACAGAUUAUCAGCUAACUACAGCCUAUGUUUCCCUCCAGUCAAGAGUGCAGCUAUUGGAUAGAAAAGCUCUGUCCAAACCUAUAUUUAUCAUUCUCCUGGCAGUCGGUAUGUGUUGGAAGAUGUUGUCAUUCUAUUAUCAUUAUCAUUAUUAUUAUUAAAUUUGUUUUACUUUAGUUGGGUAUAAAAAUUGUUCAGAUAAUUCAUCUAACCAUAUUGUUUAGCUAAACUAUGCUUUCUAGACAUCAUACACGCACACACACACACAUGCACAUUCAUGAAAAAUCCCAUCUUUUAAUUCACCUGCAACAUUAAAUGGCUGUUAUUCUAUGAAAUAGUAUUUUAUGGAAAACUUAAGUCUACAUUUUACAGAUCUUGAAUAGCUUUUGGAUUCUAUGAUUCCAUUUCUGCUGAUGUGUGUUUUUUGAAAAGCAUUUAACCUUUUUAAUGAACAUCAUGAUGUUUUAACUCAGUUUAAUCUCUACUUAAUGUUUAGAUUUUAGUAAGAGGUGAAGAGUAAAAGAGCUUUUUUUCUUCUUUCUGUUCUUUCUUUUUUUCUCAGCAUUAAUUAUGUUAUUUCCUCUGCAAGCUAAAUAAGUACAUUUUAUCAUUGUUUAUUGCCUUUUUUUCUCUUCUUUUUGUCAUUGUUACAUUUACAACAUGUAUUUUAAUUACUUUAUUAAAAAGUUUAACUUUAAAGAAAAAUAAUGGAAUUAAUUACAAAUUUAAUUAUAGCUUUGAACCUAAUGUCAAUACAGUUUAUAGAUAGAAAGAAAAGAAAAUUAUUGAUUAAGUUUAUAAAAAAAUCAAAUAAAUUAAAAAAUCAUAACAAAUAAAAACUGUUCAGACUUUCAUUUAGUCCAAAUAAUGUGACAAUGGGGGAGGGGGUAUGGGUUUUUUUCUCAUUUUUGUUUUAUUUUUUAUUGUUAUUUUUUCUUGUUAGUUUGGAUUCACUGGUAGAUAUAUAUAUAUAUAUAUAAUUUUUGUAUGUUGUGUGUUAAAGUAUUCUCUCACUUUUCAUUCUUCUUCUGGUUUCCUUGUGAGGUUAGCAACAAUAGCAGGCAAAAACCGGAAAAUAUCGUGUCAAUUACUGUAUUGACUUACCAGUUCUUGAUUAUUCUGAUAAUCUGCAUUAGUUGCCAGCAGAAACAGUAAAACCUGAUCAGGGACGAGAGAUGAGGGGGUCAGGGGAGUCAGUAUCAGAAACCAAUUAAGUGAGUGUAAUGGAAGAUAGGAAGUUUAAAACUAGGAAUAAAUUUAAAAUGUGAUCAAUAAAAGAACUGAAACUGAUAGAGAGCCAUGCAAAGGAAAUCAAAUGACAUUCACAUUUCUGGACAUAAAAAAAGGUAAAAGUAAUUUCCGUAUGUUAUAAAAACUGAUUCUGUUAAAAUGAUUUAAUGUUAUUGUAGAACUCUAAUAAAUCUUUUUUUUUUUCAUCUGUGAAAUGUUGACCUACAAUUCGAAUUGACCCUUUUUAUUCUGGGUACAUUUUGUUGUUUAGUUGCAGCAAUCCAUUUCUUUCCAAAGUUCAAAUAUUUAACCUCAUUAAACAGCAACAGAAAAA